AGUGAACGCUGGCGGUAGGCCUAACACAUGCAAGUCGAACGGCAGCACAGUAAGAGCUUGCUCUUACGGGUGGCGAGUGGCGGACGGGUGAGGAAUACAUCGGAAUCUACUUUUUCGUGGGGGAUAACGUAGGGAAACUUACGCUAAUACCGCAUACGACCUACGGGUGAAAUCAGGGGAUCUUCGGACCUUUCGCGAUUGAAUGAGCCGAUGUCGGAUUAGCUAGUUGGCGAGGUAAAGGCCCACCAAGGCGACGAUCCGUAGCUGGUCUGAGAGGAUGAUCAGCCACACUGGAACUGAGACACGGUCCAGACUCCUACGGGAGGCAGCAGUGGGGAAUAUUGGACAAUGGGCGCAAGCCUGACCCAGCCAUACCGCGUGGGUGAAGAAGGCCUUCGGGUUGUAAAGCCCUUUUGUUGGGAAAGAACAGCAGUAGGUUAAUACCCCGCUGUUCUGACGGUACCCAAAGAGAAAGCCACGGCUAACUUCGUG
rnacentral:rRNA from 1 species